rnacentral:rRNA from 1 species
GCAAGUCGAGCGGUAACAGGAAUUAGCUUGCUAAUUUGCAGACGAGCGGCGGACGGGUGAGUAACGCGUAGGAUUCUGCCUAGUAGUGGGGGAGAACAUGUGGAUACGCAUGCUAAUACCGCAUACGCCCUACGGGGGGAAGGAGGGGAUCUUCGGACCUUUCGCUAUUAGAUGAGCCUGCGUAAGAUUAGCUUGUUGGUGGGGUAAAGGCUCACCAAGGCGACGAUCUUUAGCUGGUCUGAGGAUGAUC